rnacentral:tRNA from 1 species
GGUAUCGCCAAGUCUGGUUAAGGCACUGGAUUCUGAAUCCAGCAUUCGUAGGUUCGAAUCCUACUACCC